UACAGAGGUCCCAAGCGUUGUUCGGAUUCACUGGGCGUAAAGGGCGCGUAGGCGGCCACCGCAAGUCGACUGUGAAAUCUCCGGGCUUAACCCGGAAAGGUCAGCCGAUACUGCGGGGCUAGAGUGCAGAAGGGGCAACUGGAAUUCUCGGUGUAGCGGUGAAAUGCGUAGAGAUCCGAAGGAACGCCGGUGGCGAAAGCGGCGGACUGGGCACCUUCUGACGCUGAGGCGCGAAAGCCAGGGGAGCAAACGGG
rnacentral:rRNA from 1 species